rnacentral:rRNA from 1 species
UACGUAGGGGGCAAGCGUUGUCCGGAUUCAUUGGGCGUAAAGAGCGUGUAGGCGGCCAGGUAGGUCGGUUGUGAAAACUGGAGGCUCAACCUUCAGAGGUCGACCAAAACCAUCUGGCUAGAGUCCGGGAGAGGAGAGUGGAAUUCCUGGUGUAGCGGUGAAAUGCGCAGAUAUCAGGAAGAACACCCGUGGCGAAAGCGGCUCUCUGGAACGGUACUGACGCUGAGACGCGAAAGCGUGGGGAGCGAACAGG